UAUAGAGUGCCUGAGAAAAGGAUAAUUUUGAUAGAAUUAAUAAUGUGUUUUUACACCUCUAUAA
rnacentral:tRNA from 1 species